CAGGCCUAACACAUGCAAGUCGAGCGGUAACACAAGGGAGCUUGCUCCUGAGGUGACGAGCGGCGGACGGGUGAGUAAUGCCUAGGUAUCUGCCCAGUCGAGGGGGAUAACAGUUGGAAACGACUGCUAAUACCGCAUACGCCCUACGGGGGAAAGGAGGGGACCUUCGGGCCUUCCGCGAUUGGAUGAACCUAGGUGGGAUUAGCUAGUUGGUGAGGUAAUGGCUCACCAAGGCGACGAUCCCUAGCUGGUCUGAGAGGAUGAUCAGCCACACUGGAACUGAGACACGGUCCAGACUCCUACGGGAGGCAGCAGUGGGGAAUAUUGCACAAUGGGCGAAAGCCUGAUGCAGCCAUGCCGCGUGUGUGAAGAAGGCCUUCGGGUUGUAAAGCACUUUCAGCGAGGAGGAAAGGUUAAGUCUUAAUACGGCUUAGCUGUGACGUUACUCGCAGAAGAAGCACCGGCUAACUUCGUGCCAGCAGCCGCGGUAAUACGAGGGGUGCAAGCGUUAAUCGGAAUUACUGGGCGUAAAGCGUACGCAGGCGGUUUGUUAAGCAAGAUGUGAAAGCCCCGGGCUCAACCUGGGAACUGCAUUUUGAACUGGCAAACUAGAGUCUUGUAGAGGGGGGUAGAAUUUCAGGUGUAGUGGUGAAAUGCGUAGAGAUCUGAAGGAAUACCGGUGGCGAAGGCGGCCCCCUGGACAAAGACUGACGCUCAGGUACGAAAGCGUGGGGGAGCAAACAGGAUUAG
rnacentral:rRNA from 1 species